CCGAAUUAUUUUCUAUUUGGUAUGAUGAAGACAUGAGUUGGGCUUAAAUGGAAAACAUGGCAGUGAUGCCUAGUAGUAGUAGUAGCUGUUGUUAUUUGAUUUAUAAAGCAUCCAUGUUGGUUAAACGCUUAAGUCCUGAAGCUAGUGAAGCCCAGGUUGUGUGCUUCGCCUCGCUUUGUUGGCUCAUUAGUGUAGGGGCCAAGGUGCUAACUGCGCUUCACCAGUGAAGCUAGCAUGCUAAGUCAUGCACAUCUUCAUCGAUGGGUUCAGUCUUUGCGCUUCACCAGUGAAGCUAGCAUGCUAAGUCAUGCACAUCUUCAUCGAUGGGUUCAGUCUUUGCGCUUCACCAGUGAAGCUAGCAUGCUAAGUCAUGCACAUCUUCAUCGAUGGGUUCAGUCUUUGCGCUUCACCAGUGAAGCUAGCAUGCUAAGUCAUGCACAUCUUCAUCGAUGGGUUCAGUCUUUAAGAGUACAAGACUAGACUAUAUAUAGUUGUCAAAGUGCAUUUGUUGUUAAGAAAAUAUCAUGACUGAACUUCUAGUCAUUAAGAUAAAGAAAUUGGAGAUUUGGUAUACGAGAACUAGCCACUGCAAACCUGUAACGACGUUUUUCAACUACAUCAAAAUUUUAAAAUGGUCCUUGAACUUGAUUGAUAUGAUUUUAAUUGCAUCUAUAUAGUUUAAUGAUAGUUCUUCCGUUCUUUUUGUCCAAAUAAUUAUUGUUUGUCUAAAGGUACGUUUCCUUGUAUUACAUUUUACUGGCGCUUUUUUCUACUAUAGCUCACGCUUUAACUGUGCUUUGCACUUAAAUCUUCAACGGACUUUGGCACUUUGCUGCGGUUGUUGCUUUGUACUACUCUGUAAAGCAUGUUUGUUUUAUGUAAAUAUCAUUUUGAGUUUUCUAAUAGUAUUGAUGAUUGCAGAUGCUGAAGCUGCGGAUCACGCUACUGUAACGGCUGACGUGUGUAUGUCCGCGCUCUAUGCAAAGCUGCGUAACAUUCACCGCACCUUCGGAACUUAUUCCAACAGGUAUACAAAUUCUGCUCGAUACACAAAGAAUAUUGAGUUGCCCGUCCCUUUUGCUGAGGCGAUCUCUAACAUUGGUGUGUUCAAUAUUGAGAUGACUGUGAACAUUAAGACCAUUGUGCCAACAUAUCCCGAGGGAACUGAGAAUGAAGGUUGCUCCUGCGAGGAAUUCCCUAUCGCACGCUAUUGCGGCAUCCUUCCUCACAUGAAGAAUGCUGGAAUUCCUCUCAAGUCCAUUGAUAUCCACGAUACAACUGGUACUGCUUGGUGGACUUUCAAAGUUAAGCAUGAUGGUAAUCGAUAUGCCUUUGCUGGAAUAUUUCCUCCUGUUCUAUACUCCAAUCUGUCAUGCCAUAUCGCACAGAUGUUUAUUGUGACUGAUUGUCACGGCACAUUCAGCCCCAUUGUCACUCACCAGGCUGAAGAUUCGCCAUAUCAGACGAGGUUGGUUUGAUAUCGGAGAUGAUGCUCCAUUCCGGGCAUUUGCUGCACUAUGUGGAGGUCCAAGUGAAGAAUGGAAUGAAUUUGCUAAUAUUCAUUAUCCCUGAGAUGUUAGGCCUUUGUUUUACCAAACGUUCGCUGAUGGCUUGCUGUAUUUGUCAGUACUACCCAGUUAAGACGAGAUGACAACGUUAAUAAGUUCUGUUCUCAUGACACUUUCACAUCCAAAGAAGACGCGAUGAGAUACAUUGCUGAUGUUGUUAUGCC